rnacentral:rRNA from 1 species
GAGCGGACAGAAGGGAGCUUGCUCCCGGAUGUUAGCGGCGGACGGGUGAGUAACACGUGGGUAACCUGCCUGUAAGACUGGGAUAACUCCGGGAAACCGGAGCUAAUACCGGAUAGUUCCUUGAACCGCAUGGUUCAAGGAUGAAAGACGGUUUCGGCUGUCACUUACAGAUGGACCCGCGGCGCAUUAGCUAGUUGGUGAGGUAACGGCUCACCAAGGCGACGAUGCGUAGCCGACCUGAGAGGGUGAUCGGCCACACUGGGACUGAGACACGGCCCAGACUCCUACGGGAGGCAGCAGUAGGGAAUCUUCCGCAAUGGACGAAAGUCUGACGGAGCAACGCCGCGUGAGUGAUGAAGGUUUUCGGAUCGUAAAGCUCUGUUGUUAGGGAAGAACAAGUGCAAGAGUAACUGCUUGCACCUUGACGGUACCUAACCAGAAAGCCACGGCUAACUACGUGCCAGCAGCCGCGGUAAUACGUAGGUGGCAAGCGUUGUCCGGAAUUAUUGGGCGUAAAGGGCUCGCAGGCGGUUUCUUAAGUCUGAUGUGAAAGCCCCCGGCUCAACCGGGGAGGGUCAUUGGAAACUGGGAAACUUGAGUGCAGAAGAGGAGAGUGGAAUUCCACGUGUAGCGGUGAAAUGCGUAGAGAUGUGGAGGAACACCAGUGGCGAAGGCGACUCUCUGGUCUGUAACUGACGCUGAGGAGCGAAAGCGUGGGGAGCGAACAGGAUUAGAUACCCUGGUAGUCCACGCCGUAAACGAUGAGUGCUA